UACGGAGGGUGCAAGCAUUAAUCGGAUUUAUUGGGCGUAAAGGGCGCGUAGGCGGACCUGAAAGUCAGAUGUGAAAUCCCGGGGCUCAACCUCGGAACUGCAUUUGAAACUUCAGGCCUAGAGGGUAGGCGGAGAAAACGGAAUUCCACAAGUAGCGGUGAAAUGCGUAGAUAUGUGGAAGAACACCGGUGGCGAAGGCGGUUUUCUAGCUUAUUCCUGACGCUGAGGCGCGAAAGCAAGGGGAUCAAACAGG
rnacentral:rRNA from 1 species